rnacentral:rRNA from 1 species
GUUAACGCUGGCGGUCGGCCUAACCCAUGCCAGUCGCACGGCAGCACAGUAAGAGCUUGCUCUUACGGGUGGCGAGUGGCGGACGGGUGAGGAAUACAUCGGAAUCUACUUUUUCGUGGGGGAUAACGUAGGGAAACUUACGCUAAUACCGCAUACGACCUACGGGUGAAAGCAGGGGAUCUUCGGACCUUGCGCGAUUGAAUGAGCCGAUGUCGGAUUAGCUAGUUGGCGGGGUAAAGGCCCACCAAGGCGACGAUCCGUAGCUGGUCUGAGAGGAUGAUCAGCCACACUGGAACUGAGACACGGUCCAGACUCCUACGGGAGGCAGCAGUGGGGAAUAUUGGACAAUGGGCGCAAGCCUGAUCCAGCCAUACCGCGUGGGUGAAGAAGGCCUUCGGGUUGUAAAGCCCUUUUGUUGGGAAAGAAAAGCAGCAGGUUAAUACCCCGCUGUUCUGACGGUACCCAAAGAAUAAGCACCGGCUAACUUCGUG